AUUGAACGCUGGCGGCAUGCCUUACACAUGCAAGUCGAACGGCAGCACGGGAGCAAUCCUGGUGGCGAGUGGCGAACGGGUGAGUAAUAUAUCGGAACGUGCCCAGUCGUGGGGGAUAACGCAGCGAAAGCUGUGCUAAUACCGCAUACGAUCUACGGAUGAAAGCGGGGGAUCGCAAGACCUCGCGCGAUUGGAGCGGCCGAUAUCAGAUUAGCUAGUUGGUGAGGUAAAGGCUCACCAAGGCGACGAUCUGUAGCUGGUCUGAGAGGACGACCAGCCACACUGGAACUGAGACACGGUCCAGACUCCUACGGGAGGCAGCAGUGGGGAAUUUUGGACAAUGGGCGAAAGCCUGAUCCAGCAAUGCCGCGUGCAGGAUGAAGGCCUUCGGGUUGUAAACUGCUUUUGUACGGAACGAAACGGUGAACUCUAAUACAGUUUGCUAAUGACGGUACCGUAAGAAUAAGCACCGGCUAACUACGUGCCAGCAGCCGCAGUAAGAC
rnacentral:rRNA from 1 species